rnacentral:misc_RNA from 1 species
AGGAUAUGAGCAUACGUAACAAGGAAAACCAAGGCAAGGUAAAUAACAGCAGAUAAGAAUGAGGAAAAAUGAUUAGAAAGAAGGGGAAAAGAAAUCACGAAAAUUUAGUACUGAUUUUCAUUUUGUGGGACGUAUUUAUGUUUAACUCUCAAGAUGGGAUAGAUUAUGUACAAACUAUCAAAAAGGGGCCAAAUUUCCCAAACUAUAAAUGAGGCAUUUUGUAUCACUCCUGUAUCAACUGUGGAAUAAGCUUCAGAAGAAAUGAAAGCUCCUUCUGUGAGAAGUGAGGAUUUGAUUUCACCUCCACCACCUCUCUGUUCCCUUCUUCUGCUAAUGUAGCCUCCUCCGAAUCAUCCACCUUGGAUGGCUUUAUCAUAUCAUAUACAGCAUCAGUUAUCUCUUUAACAAGAUCAACUAUUACUCCAUCUAUACCCAUCAAAUAUUGCAUGUAAACAGCUUCAGCCACAUUACUGCAAAACAAAAAUGAACUCUCAGGACAUGGAAAUUUCACAUAAUACGCAAAAUAUUCAGUAUUCAAUUCAACAACUUUAACGAUCUUGUCAACAUGACUAAUGAUUGGAUCUUAGGCUGUUCAGAAUAAGACUGAAACUUGCUUCAAUUUUCCAAAGGUUAGAAGUGAGAGCUGAGCGUCCUUGAUUUUGGUCACUGCCCCAGGAUUUCUAAAAACCCCUGUAACUUCAAAAACAAUUCCAUGCAAACCACCUUCGACGCGCAAUUUUCUAUGAUGCUAGGAU